CUCAUUUAGCCACUUUUAUGCUCAUCAUAUAUAUAUACAUCUUCUACUCCAUCUCUGCAAAUUUUACAAAGCAAAAACUAUACUUUAAGAUAACCAAGUUUUUCUCUCUAACUGCAGAUCAAUCAACAUGGUAUUAAUUUUCAAUCUAUGAAAUUUCUAUUUCAGUACAAUUUAUCAUUUCCUGUUUUUACAUCUCUACAACUACAAGUAUUUCUCUGAACAUUCUAUAUAUAUUCAGAAAAAUCACAAGCACACACCUAUUCACUAAUUAAACUCCCUUUCCGUAAAAUUUGACAACCACAGCAGCAAAACUUUGAUUUCAAAUCUUGAUUUUUUCCUUCCACGGCAGGAUUUCUUUCACACUUCAAAUCUUUGACGAAUACUCAAAUUCACAAAUUCGAUUUUUACUCCUCAACCACGAUAUUUCAAUCCAGUAUAUAUAUGUAUAUCUAAUCUUCUUCAUCGCAAAUACCCAACAAAAUCCAACAGGAAAAAGUCUUUUAUAAUUCAUCCUGUUUCCUUUCCACUGCCGAAUCUCCAUCGGUGCGGCGCGACUAGGAUGUGAACUUUAAAUUCUUGCAGUUAAUUUUCAAAGCUCAAAAGUUCAAGUUUCAGGUGUGGGAUUUAUUUCAGUACAUGCACGUGGUUAAUAUUUGUCCAUUUUAAUAUUAUGUGUUUACCGUAUGUGUUGUAAAAAUAUUUAUCGCUAGGGGCCAGCAUAAUUGGUCCAGGACUUCACCGUCCUUGGUAUGCCACAAUGCGAUUUCAUGUUACAGGGUUGCAACCAUUAUAUUGUCGCCAGGGAUCCAUAUAUAGGGUCCGGGACAUUAAAGUCCUUGGAGUUGCCACAGUGCGUAUGGAAGUUAUGUUACGUUAUGACAAUAUGUGUUACCAUUUUAUUAACAUGGACAAUUAUUGCAUGUUCCCACACUGAGUGUACCCUGUAUGCUCAUCCCAUAUUCAACAGUUUCAGGUGAUUGAUAUCGGAGGCGCGUGGAGAGUCGAAUGGGCGCGUCGAAUCUAUUUAAAAAUAAAUGUUUCUUAAAACAUAUUAUGUUAUUUCAUGUGAUAUCUUUUGGUUAUGUAAACUCUGAAAUUCUAUACUAUUUGAGAUUUGUGUGUGAUUUAUUUAAAUAAAUGUUGUUAUAUUAUUUUAA